AUGGCCACAUCAUGUUGAAACACCAGUUCUUGUAUGAUCACCAAAGUUAAGCAAUGUUGACCAUGGUCAGUACUUACAUGGCUGAUCACUUGGGAAUACUAGGUGCUGUAAG